rnacentral:rRNA from 1 species
GAGUUUGAUCAUGGCUCAGAUUGAACGCUGGCGGCAUGCCUUACACAUGCAAGUCGAACGGCAGCAUGAUCUAGCUUGCUAGAUUGAUGGCGAGUGGCGAACGGGUGAGUAAUACAUCGGAACGUGCCCUGUAGUGGGGGAUAACUAGUCGAAAGAUUAGCUAAUACCGCAUACGACCUGAGGGUGAAAGUGGGGGACCGCAAGGCCUCAUGCUAUAGGAGCGGCCGAUGUCUGAUUAGCUAGUUGGUGAGGUAAAGGCUCACCAAGGCGACGAUCAGUAGCUGGUCUGAGAGGACGAUCAGCCACACUGGGACUGAGACACGGCCCAGACUCCUACGGGAGGCAGCAGUGGGGAAUUUUGGACAAUGGGGGCAACCCUGAUCCAGCAAUGCCGCGUGUGUGAAGAAGGCCUUCGGGUUGUAAAGCACUUUUGUCCGGAAAGAAAUCGCACUUACUAAUAUUAGGUGUGGAUGACGGUACCGGAAGAAUAAGGACCGGCUAACUACGUGCCAGCAGCCGCGGUAAUACGUAGGGUCCAAGCGUUAAUCGGAAUUACUGGGCGUAAAGCGUGCGCAGGCGGUUGUGCAAGACCGAUGUGAAAUCCCCGGGCUUAACCUGGGAAUUGCAUUGGUGACUGCACGGCUAGAGUGUGUCAGAGGGGGGUAGAAUUCCACGUGUAGCAGUGAAAUGCGUAGAGAUGUGGAGGAAUACCGAUGGCGAAGGCAGCCCCCUGGGAUAACACUGACGCUCAUGCACGAAAGCGUGGGGAGCAAACAGGAUUAGAUACCCUGGUAGUCCACGCCCUAAACGAUGUCAACUAGUUGUUGGGGAUUCAUUUCCUUAGUAACGUAGCUAACGCGUGAAGUUGACCGCCUGGGGAGUACGGUCGCAAGAUUAAAACUCAAAGGAAUUGACGGGGACCCGCACAAGCGGUGGAUGAUGUGGAUUAAUUCGAUGCAACGCGAAAAACCUUACCUACCCUUGACAUGCCACUAACGAAGCAGAGAUGCAUUAGGUGCUCGAAAGAGAAAGUGGACACAGGUGCUGCAUGGCUGUCGUCAGCUCGUGUCAUGAGAUGUUGGGUUAAGUCCCGCAACGAGCGCAACCCUUGUCUCUAGUUGCUACGAAAGGGCACUCUAGAGAGACUGCCGGUGACAAACCGGAGGAAGGUGGGGAUGACGUCAAGUCCUCAUGGCCCUUAUGGGUAGGGCUUCACACGUCAUACAAUGGUGCAUACAGAGGGUUGCCAAGCCGCGAGGUGGAGCUAAUCCCAGAAAAUGCAUCGUAGUCCGGAUCGUAGUCUGCAACUCGACUACGUGAAGCUGGAAUCGCUAGUAAUCGCGGAUCAGCAUGCCGCGGUGAAUACGU